UACGUAGGGGGCAAGCGUUGUCCGGAUUUAUUGGGCGUAAAGAGCGUGUAGGCGGCCAGGUAGGUCGGUUGUGAAAACUGGAGGCUCAACCUCCAGACGUCGACCGAAACCAUCUGGCUAGAGUCCGGAAGAGGAGAGUGGAAUUCCUGGUGUAGCGGUGAAAUGCGCAGAUAUCAGGAAGAACACCCGUGGCGAAAGCGGCUCUCUGGGACGGUACUGACGCUGAGGCACGAAGGUCAGGGGAGCAAACGGG
rnacentral:rRNA from 1 species